UACGGAGGAUGCAAGCGUUAUCCGGAAUUAUUGGGCGUAAAGCGCUCGUAGGCGGUUUGUCACGUCUGCUGUGAAAUCCCGAGGCUCAACCUCGGGCCUGCAGUGGGUACGGGCAGACUGGAGUGCGGUAGGGGAGAAUGGAAUUCCUGGUGUAGCGGUGGAAUGCGCAGAUAUCAGGAGGAACACCGGUGGCGAAGGCGGUUCUCUGGGCCUUACCUGACGCUGAGGAGCGAAAGCGUGGGGAGCAAACAGG
rnacentral:rRNA from 1 species